rnacentral:rRNA from 1 species
AGUGAACGCUGGCGGCGUGCUUAACACAUGCAAGUCGAGCGAGAACGGGCUAUAGCUUGCUAUAGUUGUCAGCUAAGUGGCGCACGGGUGAGUAAUGUAUAGGUAAUAUGCCUCUUACUAAGGGAUAACAAUUGGAAACGAUUGCUAAUACCUUAUACUCCUUAUUAACCUAAGUUAAUAAGGGAAAGAUUUAUUGGUAAGAGAUUAGCCUGUAUUGUAUCAGUUAGUUGGUGGGGUAAUGGCCUACCAAGACUAUGACACAUAACUGGUUUGAGAGGAUGAUCAGUCACACUGGAACUGAGACACGGUCCAGACUCCUACGGGAGGCAGCAGUGGGGAAUAUUGCACAAUGGACGAAAGUCUGAUGCAGCAACGCCGCGUGGAGGAUGACACAUUUCGGUGCGUAAACUCCUUUUAUAUGAGAAGAUAAUGACGGUAUUAUAUGAAUAAGCACCGGCUAACUCCGUGCCAGCAGCCGAC